rnacentral:piRNA from 1 species
UUUGAGAUGAUGUUUGCGAAGGCCGC